rnacentral:rRNA from 1 species
ACCUGGUUGAUCCCUGCA